rnacentral:misc_RNA from 1 species
GUGAAUCAUCGAAUUUUUGAACGCAAAUUGCGCCUUUUGCGGAAGGCAUGUCUGUUUGGGGGCACCAUUUAACAAAUACUGAGCAGCGCUUGUUGUUGCACACGUUGAUGAGCUUUCUAAGUAUUUUAAAUUUUUGGGGGCGCAUAAUGAACAGCGGGAAAGUUUUUUUCAGUUCGAGUGUAGUAAAAGCUUUGC